rnacentral:rRNA from 1 species
UACGUAGGGGGCAAGCGUUGUCCGGAAUCAUUGGGCGUAAAGGGUGCGUAGGCGGCGCGGUAAGUCGGGUGUGAAAUCUUGGAGCUUAACUCCGAAACUGCAUUCGAUACUGCCGUGCUUGAGGACUGGAGAGGAGACUGGAAUUUACGGUGUAGCGGUGAAAUGCGUAGAUAUCGUAAGGAAGACCAGUGGCGAAGGCGGGUCUCUGGACAGUUCCUGACGCUGAGGCACGAAGACCAGGGGAGCAAACGGG